rnacentral:pre_miRNA from 9 species
UGAGUGAAGAUUGCGAUUGCUGAGCUGAGUUUGUCAAAGUGGCUGUGAUUUGGUUGAAAUUAACGCAUAUCACAGCCCGCUUUGACGAGCUUACGGCAACACGACACAACCAGCUAAGCU